UACAGAGGUCUCAAGCGUUGUUCGGAUUCAUUGGGCGUAAAGGGUGCGUAGGCGGCGCGGUAAGUCGGGUGUGAAAUCUCGGAGCUUAACUCCGAAACUGCAUUCGAUACUGCCGUGCUUGAGGACUGGAGAGGAGACUGGAAUUUACGGUGUAGCGGUGAAAUGCGUAGAUAUCGUAAGGAAGACCAGUGGCGAAGGCGGGUCUCUGGACGGUUUCUGACACUAAGACACGAAAGCGUGGGGAGCAAACAGG
rnacentral:rRNA from 1 species